rnacentral:rRNA from 1 species
GCCUUAGUAACGGCGAGUGAAGCGGCAACAGCUCAAAUUUGAAAGCUGGCUCCUUCGGAGUCCGCGUUGUAAUUUGUAGAGGAUGAUUCGGCAAGGGCUCCCGCCUAAGUCUCCUGGAACGGAGCGUCAUAGAGGGUGAGAAUCCCGUAUGCGGUGGGCUGCCUAAGCCAUGUGAAUCUCCUUCGACGAGUCGAGUUGUUUGGGAAUGCAGCUCUAAAUGGGAGGUAAAUUUCUUCUAAAGCUAAAUACCGGCCAGAGACCGAUAGCGCACAAGUAGAGUGAUCGAAAGAUGAAAAGCACUUUGGAAAGAGAGUUAAAAAGUACGUGAAAUUGUUGAAAGGGAAGCGCUUGCAGCCAGACUUGUCCGCAGUUGCUCAGCCGGUCUCCUGACCGGUGUACUCUUCUGCGGCCAGGCCAGCAUCAGUUCGGGCGGUCGGAUAAAGACCUCGGGAAUGUAGCUCCUCUCGGGGAGUGUUAUAGCCCGGGGUGGAAUGCGGCCAGCCUGGACUGAGGAUCUCGCUUCGGCUAGGAUGCUGGCGUAAUGGCUGUAAGCGGCCCGUCUUGAAACACGGACCAAGGAGUCUAACAUCUAUGCGAGUGUUUGGGUGUCAAACCCAUGCGCGUAAUGAAAGUGAACGGAGGUGGGAACCCUCACGGGUGCACCAUCGACCGAUCCUGAUGUCUUCGGAUGGAUUUGAGUAAGAGCAUAGCUGUUGGGACCCGAAAGAUGGUGAACUAUGCCUGAAUAGGGUGAAGCCAGAGGAAACUCUGGUGGAGGCUCGCAGCGGUUCUGACGUGCAAAUCGAUCGUCAAAUUUGGGUAUAGGGGCGAAAGACUAAUCGAACCAUCUAGUAGCUGG